UAUUGCGCAAUGGGGGAAACCCUGACGCAGCAACGCCGCGUGAGUGAGGAAGGUCUUCGGAUUGUAAAACCCUUUUGCUAGGGAAAAAUGACCUUGUGGCUAAUAUCCACGAGGAGUGAUGGUACCUAAAGAAUAAGGACCGGCUAACUUCGUGCCAGCAGCCGCGGUAAUACGAAGGGUCCAAGCGUUGUUCGGAAUCAUUGGGCGUAAAGCGCGCGCAGGCGGGUCAGCAAGUCAGAUGUGAAAUCUCGAAGCUCAACUUCGAAACUGCGUCUGAAACUGCUAGUCUAG
rnacentral:rRNA from 1 species